AUGCUCCUGUGUGGUAGGUCAUCAUGAAGGAGGUUUUCUCAGGGAAAAGUUUGUCUAUUACACACAGGAUGCGCUGACGCCUAUGAUUUCCUCAAAUGUGGGGAGCUCAGCUGCAUAAUCUGUGUUAAUAGGGGUGUGGUGGUUUGGAUGAAAAUGGGCCCCAU
ensembl:snRNA U1 U1 spliceosomal RNA